CCAACGUGAGCGGUCACCCCGGGAACUGGGGCUAAUCCCAGAUAGAUGAGAACCCCUGGAAUGGGUUUUCGUCUAAAGGGCACCGCGGUUAUGCUCUGCGGUGUCGCUCAAGGAUGGGGCCGCGUCCGAUCAGGCUGUUGGUGAGGCAAUGGCUCACCAAACCUAUAACCGGUACGGGCCGUGGGAGCGGGAGCCCGGAGAUGGGAACUGAGACAAGGUCCCAGGCCCUACGGGGCGCAGCAGUUACGAAAACUUGUCAAUGCACGAAAGUGUGAACGGGCUACCCCGAGUGCCGUCCGCUGAGGAUGGCUUUUCUCUGCUGUAAGAAGGCGGAGGAAUAAGGCGAGGGCAAGUCUGGUGUCAGCCGCCGCGGUAAUACCAGCUCGCCGAGUGGUAGGGAUGAUUAUUGGGCCUAAAGCGUCCGUAGCCGGCCUUUCAAGUCUCUUGUUAAAUCCAACGAUUCAAUCGCUGGACUGCAGGAGAUACUGUUAGGCUAGGGGGCGGGAGAAGCCGACGGUAUUUUCGGGGUAGGGGUAAAAUCCUAUAAUCCCGGGAAGACCACCAGUGGCGUAGGCGGUCGGCUAGCACGCGCUCGACGGUGAGGGACGAAAGCUGGGGGAGCGAACCGGAUUAGAUACCCGGGUAGUCUCAGCUGUAAACGAUGCUGGCUAGGUGUUGAAGCGGCUACGAGCCGCUUCAGUGCCGCAGGGAAGCCAUUAAGCCAGCCGCCUGGGGAGUACGGCCGCAAGGCUGAAACUUAAAGGAAUUGGCGGGGGAGCAC
rnacentral:rRNA from 1 species